rnacentral:rRNA from 1 species
AUUGAACGCUGGCGGCAUGCCUAACACGUGCAAGUCGAGCGGAUGAAGGGAGCUUGCUCCUGGAUUCAGCGGCGGACGGGUGAGUAAUGCCUAGGAAUCUUCCUGUUAGUUGGGGAUAACGUCCGGAAACGGGCGCUAAUACCGCAUACGUCCUGAGGGAGAAAGUGGGGGAUCUUCGGACCUCUCGCUAUCAGAUGAGCCUAGGUCGGAUUAGCUAGUUGGUGGGGUAAAGGCCUACCAAGGCGACGAUCCGUAACUGGUCUGAGAGGAUGAUCAGUCACAGUGGAACUGAGAGACGGUCCAGACUCUUACGGGAGGCAGCAGUGGGGAAUAUUGGACAAUGGGGGAAAGACUGAUCCAGCCAUGCAGCGUGUGUGAAGAAGGUCUUCGGAUUGUAAAGCACUUUAAGUUGGGAGGAAGGGUAGUAAGUUAAUAGCUUGCUGUUUUGACGUUACCAACAGAAUAAGCACCGGCUAACUUCGUG